rnacentral:rRNA from 1 species
UGGGGAAUUUUGCACAAUGGGGGAAACCCUGAUGCAGCGACGCCGCGUGAUUUAGAAGGCCUUCGGGUUGUAAAAAUCUUUUGUAUGGGAAGAAAAUGACAGUACCAUACGAAUAAGGACCGGCUAAUUACGUGCCAGCAUCCGCGGUAAUACGUAAGGUCCGAGCGUUGUCCGGAAUCAUUGGGCGUAAAGGGUACGUAGGCGGAUAAGCAAGUUAGAAGUGCAAUCCUAUAGCUCAACUAUAGUAAGCUUUUAAAACUGCUCAUCUUGAGGUAUGGAAGGGAAAGUGGAAUUCCUAGUGUAGCGGUGAAAUGCGCAGAUAUUAGGAGGAAGACCGGUGGCGAAGGCGACUUUCUGGCCAUAAGCAAACGAUGAGGUACGAAAGCGUGGGUAGCAAACAGG